AUUGAACGCUGGCGGCAUGCUUUACACAUGCAAGUCGAACGGCAGCACGAAAGAGCUUGCUCUUUUGGUGGCGAGUGGCGAACGGGUGAGUAAUGCAUCGGAACGUACCGAGUAAUGGGGGAUAACUAUCCGAAAGGAUAGCUAAUACCGCAUACGCUUUGAGAAGGAAAGUGGGGGCUCUACGGACCUCACGUUAUUCGAGCGGCCGAUGUCUGAUUAGCUAGUUGGUGGGGUAAAGGCCUACCAAGGCGACGAUCAGUAGCGGGUCUGAGAGGAUGAUCCGCCACACUGGGACUGAGACACGGCCCAGACUCCUACGGGAGGCAGCAGUGGGGAACUUUGGACAAUGGGCGCAAGCCUGAUCCAGCCAUGCCGCGUGUCUGAAGAAGGCCUUCGGGUUGUAAAGGACUUUUGUUAGGGAAGAAAAGGAUAGUGUUAAUACCAUUAUCUGCUGACGUACCUAAAGAAUAAGC
rnacentral:rRNA from 1 species